rnacentral:misc_RNA from 1 species
GUGAAUCAUCGAAUUUUUGAACGCAAAUUGCACUCACUGGCAUCCCGAUGAGUAUGUCUGUUUGAGGGUCAGUAUUAACAACAACGUUGUUUUUUUGCGAAUUGUUACGUCUCCGGGGUUUGGGUGAUUUUAUCUUUUUUGGUUAAGCGGCUUAAAAUUGACUUUAUUUAUGCAUGUGUGGACGUACAAAAAAUUUUUUUUAUUGGUCUAGUCUAU